rnacentral:rRNA from 1 species
AUUGAACGCUGGCGGCAGGCUUAACACAUGCAAGUCGAGCGGAGAUGAGGUGCUUGCACCUUAUCUUAGCGGCGGACGGGUGAGUAAUGCUUAGGAAUCUGCCUAUUAGUGGGGGACAACAUUCCGAAAGGAAUGCUAAUACCGCAUACGCCCUACGGGGGAAAGCAGGGGAUCUUCGGACCUUGCGCUAAUAGAUGAGCCUAAGUCGAAUUAGCGAGUUGGUGGGGUAAAGGCCUACCAAGGCGACGAUCUGUAGCGGGUCUGAGAGGAUGAUCCGCCACACUGGGACUAGAACACGGCCCAGACGCCGAUGGGAGGCAGCAGUGGGGAAUAUUGGACAAUGGGCGGAAGCCUGAUCCAGCCAUGCCGCGUGUGUGAAGAAGGCCUUUUGGUUGUAAAGCACUUUAAGCGAGGAGGAGGCUACCUGGAUUAAUACUCUAGGAUAGUGGACGUUACUCGCAGAAUAAGCACCGGCUAACUCUGUGCCAGCCGCCGCCGUAAAAC